AAGAAAUAAAUAAAUUCUGUCCCUUAGUUGUGCUUUUAUCCCAGUGUGGUAAAAUCCUGAUUUUUACCUGUGUGCAGGAAUUUGCUGGUGCAGCCCUUGCCCUGCCAGGCUCUUCUGUGCAACUCAAACUUGCUUGGGUUGACCAUGAAAAACAAGAAAAAGAAGAGUUAACUCCCACACCCUUUGCUGCUGGGGCCAUGCAGAAAACAAGAGAUCCUACAGGAUCCGUGCCAAUAUCCAGGAUAAAAGUGAAUUGUGUCGUUUUGGACAGCCCAGGAAAGCCUUUGGGGCUCUGCUGGAAUCUGCUCAGGGUGGUUGGGAGCAGGAAGCAGCAGCCGGGGCACAUCAGGAUUCACACAACAGGCACCCUCUUGUGGCUUUUUCCUGUCACAGGAUGAGGACAGGGAUGGAUCCUGCUCUGGAGCAGCCUGGCAACCCCCUCAGUUGCUUUAAGGCUGGUUCAUUCACCUUGAAAAGCCACUCCAAUGUGCAGAUGACCUCUCCUUGGGACAAUCUUUGAUUUCCCUGAUGGUCUCCAGGACACUGCAGGAUCUCUGGAGGACAUGAUUGUGCUCUCUGAAUAAUUCAUGAGAUUCUGGAGUGUUGGUCAGCAUUGCUGAGUACCUCUGCACACAACAUCUCAUUGUUAAUUAUCAUUGAACUUCUCCAGGAACAUCAGCCACAGACAGGAGAUAUUUAUUGGUAAGUAGAAAAAGGAAUAAAUCUCAUCUCUGCAAAGCUGUGCUCCUCAACUUGAAUAUUAAUUUAAGAAAAACUUCUCAUCAUUGGGAGAUGAUUUUAUCCUGUGGCAAUUCAGGGGCAAAGAACUGGAGUUUCUUUACCAAGACCUUGACCCCAGUGAAGAUUUUUUUAAUGUUGUUUCUUAUAAACCUUUUCUUGGGAGCUGAACCCAUCACUAGAGAGUCUUUUAGUUUUAAUUCUUGGGAAUUUUGCUUGUGUGCAUGUAAAGAUAUUCUGAAUCUACCUUAGGAAAAUGAGAAUUGUUUAAUGUGACCUGAUUUGUGUUUGCUUUCAGUGCCCCCACACAAGGGCUGCAGCAACAAGACCAUCUGCACUGCUCAUUUGCCUUUGACAAUCAGAUUCAGUGAGUCUGAGGAGUUGCACUCUCCAGAUUUUGCAUUUAGAGCUCAUACAAAACGUCAUCUUUGUGCAAAAGGCAUUUUCUCCAAACCCUCAGUGGUGUUUUUUGAUUUUCCCUGCAAUUCAUCCUUCAGUAACAUCCCAUUCAUGCAGUGCUUCAUCUCUGGGGCUGUCCCAAGAAACUCCAGAGCACAGACUGAGGUUUAAACAACAAUAAUCAUCCUAAAAAUGCCAAUUCUGGCAUUUCAUUAGGAACAGAUGAACAGCAGAGCACUGCACAAGGAGCUGCUCAGUCUACAUUUAACAGAAGGCAACACUUCAUUGUGAAAAUCCACCCUGCAGAUUGGCUGAGGAGCUGAUCAAGGCCAACAGUGCUGCAAGUCAACCUUGAAUGAUAAGAUGUUAUAUAAAGUAUGGAAGGGUCUGCCUUUGAGAUUGAAAAGGAAGCAUUUUCCUACACACCUUGAAGACUACUGAAUAAUUGGGCUGUUGCAUUGUCCUGUGUGUGAAAGGAUUUGGAGGGAGUAAUUCCCAAAACUUCCAAGAACCAGGAUGCUCCAGGCCUCUCAUGAAAUAAAACCCCUUUUUCUGUCUGCUCCUAGGAAGGAAUCAGUGGGGGCCACACUGAAGUGACCAUAAAUAUGACAGUGGAGAUGACUGUGUGACAACUCUGCUCCUGAACACCCCCAAAAAUCUGCAUUUGAGGAAGGUGCCAGUGGAGGUGAGGUUGGGGAACAGCCCCACAGCUCUCAGUUGAGAGGAAACCCAGCACAGCCACCAAGUGAUUUACUACCUAAACAAACCUUGCAAUGAGCUCCAGGGAAGGGAAGGAGCAUUCCACUUGUUAGGAGGAGAGCCUAAAUACUGGAUUUAUCUUCUUUAAGACUCCCAAGCUUUUAUUGGGCUAUUUGUACCUAAUUUGUUUUAUGGGAGCAGUCCCAGGCCGAGUUGAAUUUCCAGUCUGUUUUUAUUCAGCUCUAAGGAGAAUUCCUUCUUCCUUGGCAGCCUCAUCCCUGCUGGGCACUGUGGCCAACCAGCAGCACCAUUAACUGCUGCAGUCUGGAACUGCAGAAUUGGGCAGAAAUUACUAUUUUCCCUUUUUUCCUGCCUCUGAAUGAUACUCUGAGCAGCUGCUCUUCAUUCUUUCUACACUGAGGCCAGAGCUGCUCUUCCUCCUCAUUCAGCUUCUCAAGGCAAGAGAUCAUUUGCAUAUGCCUGCACAUAAUGUCUCAUUUUCCCAGAAUGAGCAAAAAAUACAUAUCUUAACAGCACCCUGGUGAGUUACAGAGUAUUCACAGGGUAAUCCAUAAUUUAUCUGUCUUCUCCAUCAAAAUAGGCAAAAUUUUCAGAGAUUUGGCACUUGGAUGAAAGUGAGGGCUUCCAAGAGAGGGUUGCUGGCUUCACCACAAAAUCUACUUUGACCUAUUCCUACUUGCAACCCAUCUGAUUUACCAAUAAUUAUACAAAACUAGGCUUGCUCUUGUCACUCUCCUAAAGCCUUUGGAUCCACGUGAAAAGUCUUUCCCUCCCUUAGGAUAAUUUUAGCUUUGUUCAAAUUUCCAUAUUUCAGUAAAAGAUGGAGCACCCUUUAAGGCUCUAAUUUUGAUGUGGUGUGUAUUAAAAAACUUGUGUUUUCUGAAGGGGCAAACUGGGUUCUGGCAUCCUUUCCUCAGCAGGGAAAGCAGAUCUUUAAAAUACAUAAUCCAGCUCUGUUCCAAGUAAAGCUUUCACACAGAUGAAAACAUGUUCAGGGCAUUUAACUUGAUUAGGGGAAAUUUACUAUUCCAAUUCCUUUUUUGUCACCAUCCUCCCAUUAAAAUUUAUGAGGGCUGAUUAGUA